AGAGUUUGAUCCUGGCUCAGGAUAAACGCUGGCGGCGUGCCUAACACAUGCAAGUCGAACGAAGAAACUGUAGUAAUACGGUUUUCUUAGUGGCGGACGGGUGAGUAACACGUAGGUGACCUACCCCAAAACGGGGAAUAACAGCCCGAAAGGAUUGCUAAUACCCCAUGUGGUCAACGAGUUUAGAGGCUUGUUGACUAAAGGAGCAAUCCGUUUUGGGAGGGGCCUGCGCUCCAUCAGCUAGUUGGUAGGGUAAUGGCCUACCAAGGCGACAACGGGUAGGGGGCCUGAGAGGGUGACCCCCCACAUUGGCACUGACACACGGGCCAAACUCCUACGGGAGGCAGCAGUGAGGAGUAUUGCUCAAUGGGCGAAAGCCUGAAGCAGCAACGCCGCGUGCGCGAUGAAGGUCUUCGGAUCGUAAAGCGCUUUUGAGAGGGACGAGAUAGGACGGUACCUCUUGAAUAAGUCACGGCUAACUACGUGCCAGCAGCCGCGGUAAAACGUAGGUGGCAAGCGUUAUCCGGAUUCACUGGGCGUAAAGCGAGUGCAGGUGGUUGCGUAAGUUGGAUGUGAAAUUUCCAGGCCUAACCUGGAAGGGUCAUUCAAUACUGCGCGACUUGAGGGCAGAAGAGGGGGGUGGAAUUGCCGGUGUAGUGGUGAAAUGCGUAGAUAUCGGCAGGAACACCUGUGGCGAAAGCGGCCCCCUGGUCUGCUCCUGACACUCAGACUCGAAAGCUAGGGUAGCGAACGGGAUUAGAAACCCCGGUAGUCCUAGCCGUAAACGAUGGAUGCUAGGUGUGGGUGGUAUUGACCCCAUCCGUGCCGAAGCUAACGCGUUAAGCAUCCCGCCUGGGGACUACGGCCGCAAGGUUAAAACUCAAAUGAAUUGACGG
rnacentral:rRNA from 1 species